rnacentral:rRNA from 1 species
CGCGCUGGUAUCUAUUUUGUUGGUUUCUAGAGUCGCCGUAAUGAUCAAUAGGGAUAGUUGGGGGCAUUAGUAUUCAGUUGCUAGAGGUGAAAUUCUUGGAUUUACUGAGGACUAACUACUGCGAAAGCAUUUGCCAAGGAUGUUUUCAUUAAUCAAGAACGAAGGUUAGGGGAUCGAAAACGAUCAGAUACCGUUGUAGUCUUAACAGUAAACUAUGCCGACUAGGGAUCGGGCGACCUCAAUUUUAUGUGGCGCUCGGCACCUUACGAAAAAUCAAAGUCUUUGGGUUCUGGGGGGAGUAUGGUCGCAAGGCUGAAACUUAAAGGAAUUGACGGAAGGGCACCACCAGGUGUGGAGCCUGCGGCUUAAUUUGACUCAACACGGGGAAACUCACCAGGUCCAGACAUGACUAGGAUUGACAGAUUGAUAGCUCUUUCAUGAUUUUAUGGGUGGUGGUGCAUGGCCGUUCUUAGUUGGUGGAGUGAUUUGUCUGGCUAAUUCCGAUAACGAACGAGACCUUAACCUGCUUAAUAGCCAGGCCGGCUUUUGCUGGUCGUCGGCUUCUUAGAGGGACUGUCUGCGUCUAGUAGACGGAAG